rnacentral:misc_RNA from 1 species
CCUCUGGAAAGCACACCAAAAUAGUGACACAGCAGCUCAAAACCGAACCAAUUUCACAUGGAGUCCUCCAUCUUUCACUCUCCAAACUCCGAUUUCUCGUCGGAAUCUUCCUUCGGGUCGCCUGAAUCUUUCUACAGCCAAUCCUUUAGCCAACAUCCUCUCCCUUUCAAUGAAAAUGAUUCAGAGGAAAUGCUUCUUUAUGGACUAAUCUCAGAGGCCACACAAGAAACAUCGAAAACAGCUUACUCUGUUCGAAAUAUCAAGGAAGAAGAGGUCAGUUCUGUAAUUAAAGAAAAUCCCAACA